rnacentral:rRNA from 1 species
AUGGCCGCGGCGACGGCGGCGGCAGAGGAGGUGCUGCAGCACAUGGGACCGGUCCCUCGAGUGGAAGAGACCAAUAAUGCGGCGGCGGCGGAGGAACUCGGGGGAGACGACGAAGAGAUCCUGCGAUUCAUGGACUCGGCGGACGGCUACCUCCUCCUGAUGGAUUCGCUCUCCUCCGCUCUUCGCCAGGGUUGGCUUGAUCUGGCAAGUGCCCGCCACUCGAUGGGUGCAUCGCGUGUUUCAAGUACGCUGUUUGAUCAUAAAGAGCAAUCUGCAGCCACUAAGCUGCAAGUAGUUUAUCCUGCAGACUUGCAAGCAUCAGAAUCAAACCCACAUUUUUCUCUAUCAAAGUGGUGUUUGCAAGAAGAAUCAAACUCCAGUGAUAUUGUCAGUGCGCAGGAUAGCGCUACAGCAAAACUAAGGUACAGAGGAUCAGCUGCGACGCCAGAUAGUAGCAAUGGAUCAGAUGCUAGAACUGCAGAGUCUUCUACUGGUGUCGACGUUAACAGUCAGGUUCAAAAGGCGAGAUCAAAAGCAUUAUCAGUCUUUGGAGCAUUGGUGUCUCCAAAACUACGAACGGCCCAAGUUUCUUUUGAAACAGCACUUGAACUAAUUGUGGAGUUAGCAAAUGCAAGAUCAGCCAUCCUCUCUAGUUUCUCCCAGAUAAAUCGUGAAGCAUGA